GGUCGCCAAGCCUGGUCAAAGGCGCAGGGCUUAGGACCCUGUCCCGUAGGGGUUCGUGGGUUCAAAUCCCACCC
rnacentral:tRNA from 1 species